GGGAAAUCAGCAACUGAAACUUGUAUCAAUGUUACACAAAAAAAUUAAAACUGGUGAAAAUCUACUUAUAUAGGCAAAGUCCAUUCAGAAUGCAAUUCCAACAGCACAUAAGAAGGUGGACACCACCCGGGACAAAGCAGCCAUUUGACAACACUAAAUAUUUGCUUUCCCCGUCAACAGUGUACAGUGACCACUGUGUGUAUCAUCCACAGAAUUCAUCAUUGCAUCCUUGCCAAGGCUUCCUCUACAGCAACUCCAUCCUCUUGAAGGAUCAAUCAGCUUUAAUAUCACCGGCAUAUGUUGUGAAUCUUAUUGUUCUGUGGCUGCAACACAUUGCAAUUCAUAAUAAACACUCUAAAUUACAAAUCUUUGCUGUAAUUCCAUGGGCUCAUAGCUUGUUAAGCAGCCUCAUGUGUGGCACCUUGUCAAAGGCCUUCUGAAAAUCCAAGUAUACACCAUCAAUCAAUUCUCCUUUGUCCAUCCUGCUUGCUGCUUCUUCAAAGAAUUCCAACAGAUUUGUCAGGUGGGGACUGCUGACAGCAACAGUGAGAGAUGGAAGAUGUCCUUGAACACGUCCACCAGUUGGUUGGCAUAGGUUUAUGGAGCACUACCAGGUACCCUGUCAGCGUCAGAUGCCUUGCAGGGGUUCACUCUCUUGAAAGAUGUUCUGAAGUUGCCCACCAAGACAGAGAUCAUAGGGUCAUCAGAUGCUGCAGGGAUCAGCACAGGUGUUAUUAUAUUCCCCCUUUCAAAGCAUGCAUAAAAGGUGUGAGCUCAUCUGAGAGUGAAGCAUUAGAGCCAUUUCUGAUGUGAGGUUUCAAUUUGGAAUUUUUUUUUUGCUCUUCAAUUAGCCUUCCGAUUCUUGUACCUGGAAUUUUUGUUUAGUUCUUACCAGUGUGCAACCACCUGGUAAAUGGACUACUCCUCCAGGUACUGCCUUCAGCUCUUCCAUACACUGAGUUGUUGGCCUCACCCCUCACCACCAAUGUCAAUUUUUCUUCCUAAUAAAGCCUUUAUGCAGAUUUUCCUGCCACUGGAGAGCUGCUUCCACAAAUUGAAAGAAGCCCAUUCCACCAUACAGUGACAAGCAGAAACUGCUGACGCCAAAACUUAAUUUCAAAAUAUGAGUAAAGUUAACAAAAUUAAUGAAAAUAAAAUUUGAAAAGGAUCAACUUGUUUUUCUCAAAAUUACAUUGCAGAUGAUAAAAACACUCAUUUACUUCCCACGUGAAAUCCAAACCAUUGAAUCAACUUAAUGCCAAAAGUUUUCAGAUUGAAACAGAAUCUUUCCUCUCUCUGGGUAUAAAGAAAAUCUUACAGACAGAGUCAUGUCCCUAAGCACAUGCUUGAAGGAAAACAGCAAUUGAAGCAGGAACUGAACAACACAGAGAUAUGAAUGGGGUCAUGCUAAAGUUUAGAUGUUCUUUUUUAUAGUAAUAAACCUUUCUGAAACUGAAAUGCAACUCCAUAGACAUGACAACAGUUUUCAUAAUAUUGGAAAACCAAGCUUACAUAAUAAUCAAAGUUUUGUCAGUUCAACACCCACAAGAAGCACAACUUCAACAGUUAUUUUUGAUUUCCUACUAAAUAGCACAACUGCUAGUUUGCACACAUUUCCAUGUUUAGCAAUUCAGAGGUCAGAAUAAUAGUAAAAUGCAAAGAACAAAUUUGUAAUACAUCUCCAGAUGUGUUUUGCAUAAACACAUUAAUUUAUCAAGGUAAAACAAUCUACAUGGAUAACAGGAAUCAAUGAAAUUUGCGGGACAUUAUAUUGGCAUACCCUCAUGUAAAAGCACAUUUCAGACUGAAUUUCAAUAUCCGUUCUUUAAAAAUGAUUUAAAAUGCAUUAUACUGAAAUCUUUUUGCUUGCAAAAAUUAAUUAAGUACUGAAAAUUGUGGAGAUGCCUAACAGGUUCAGCAGUAUCAGUGGAAUGAGAUAUUUUAGUUCCAUGACCUUUCAUUUGGAGCCUUGAGUUUGAAUCAGUUUUCAUCUGAAUUCAAGAAGGAUCAGCCAUGUGAUUCAUUUCCUUGCUUAAGAAUCAGGUUUAAUAUCAAUGGCAUAUCUAGUGAAAUUUGUUGAUAUAUGCGCUAUUAGAGAUUGGUUGGUAUGACAUUGUGGGCAACACUGAGUCAUGGCUGAAAGAAGGCCAUAGUUGGGAGCUUAACAUCAAAGAAUAUAAUCUGUAUUGAAAGGACAGGUAGAAGGUCAUAGGCGGUGGUGUGAUUCUGUUAGCAAGAGAUGGAAUUACAUCUUUAGAAAGAGGUGACAUAGGGUCAGAGAAUGUUGAAUCCUUCUGGGUGCAGUUAAGAAACUGCAAGGGUAAAAAACCAUAAUGGGAAUCAAAUAUAGGCCUCCAAAUAGUAGCCAAGAUGUGGGGCUGCGAUUGCAAUGGGACCAGGAAAAGGCAUAUAAUAAGGAAAAUGACACAAUUUUAAUGGGGGAUUUCAAUAUGCAAGGGGAUUGGGAAAAUCAGGUUGAUGUCAGAUCGCAAGAGAGGGAAUUUGUUGAAUGCCUGCGAGAUGGCUUUUUAGAGCAGUUCGUGCUUGAGCUUACUCAGGGAAAGGCCAUCUUAGACUGGGUGUUGUGUAAUAACCCAGAUCUUAUGAGGGAGCUUAACAUAAAGGAACACUAAGGAGAUAGUGAGUAUAAUAUGAUUGAAUUCAUACUGCAAUCUGAGCAGGAGAAGCAUAACUCACAUGUAUCAUUAUCACGAUGGAAUAAAGGGAAUUACAGAGGCAUGAGAGGAGCUUGCCCAGGUGGAUUGACGGAGGAUACUGGCAGGGAUGACGGCAGAGCAGAGAUGGCUGAAGAUUCUGGGAUUAGUUCACAAGAUGCAGGAUAGAUAUGUCCCACAGAAGAUGUUUGCAAAUGGCAGGGGUAGUGUUAUGAAUGCACCACAGCUCUGAGGGGCCAAAGGGUGUGGGGGAGCCCCCUCCUUUGUGAGAAUCACAAGAGCAUUAUUGGGUUGUGUCUGAGGACCCAGGAAAUGAGAGAGAGAGACCUGGCCAUUGUCUCCUGGAGACCACGUUUGUGGAUUGGGGACUAUGCUACGUGCAAGCCCUCGGGCAAAGUGGGCUGGUUGAGAGAGAGAUUGCAUCAUCCCAACCUGACUGACAUCUGAGACCCCAUGAGGAAGUAUAAAAGAGGGUCUGGGGGAACAACCCCUUUCAGACGCUCCAGAAGAAACGCUAGCGAUCCCAUAAUAGCGGGAAACCAUUUGAAGGAAGCCACAUGCGUUCGGUUCCCUUGCCUGGGGGCUGGUGGCUGGUACCACGGAAAAUGACUUGGAACUAACAACGGGGAACCAACUCCACCAACGCAACGGAUUGGCCUCAUAAAAGUCCCGGGCAAGUUUAAAACCGUCUCUCUCUUAAACCCAAAAGCUGCAGCUUGAAAGGACAGUGACUUCUAUCUUUCCUUCGGACAAUACAAUAUCCCCUAGACAAACGACAGAGCUAUUGCUUAAUUGAUGAUUAUUAUUAUACCCGCGUUUUUUGAUUGAGUAUUGACAACGUAUUUUAUUUGAAUGUUUGUAUUAAUCUUAUUUUUGUGCCCCUUUAUAAAUAAAGACUUUUAAAAAUAGUACCAUCAGACUUCAACGGGCCUCUCUAUCUUUGCUGGUCCUUGCAUUCGGAUUAUCCACGCCUGGGAUCUGUUGUGGAAAGCUGCUUGGUAACCACACUAUCCAAUGUCAGUGCUCUCAUUUGCUUUUCAGGUGAAAGCAAAGUAACACAAAGUGUAUUUUGUAUAGAACGGAAAGCCUCAUCCAAUUUGAUUCUUCAUUUGAAAUUGAAAUGUUGGAAAUAGAGUCCAGGAAGUCAUCCACUGAAUGUUCCUCCAUUGCAUUGUGAGAGAGAGGCCCAAUAAAGAACGAUCGUUCUUCAGAAUAGCAAAUAGAGAUUGCUUCAACGUUUUUGAUGUUAAAAAGAUCAAGGCUUUACAAGGACAUUAACCUUCUGUUGAACAGAUGGCAACAUUAUUAUCUUCAUGCAAGUUAAGUCCAGAUACAUUGUAAUUGAAUGGUAGAUGUAACAGAAAGAGAUUUGAUGCACAA